rnacentral:rRNA from 1 species
UGGGGAAUCUUGCGCAAUGGGCGAAAGCCUGACGCAGCAACGCCGCGUGCGGGAAGAAGGCCUUCGGGUUGUAAACCGCUUUCAGCAGGAACGAAUCUGACGGUACCUGCAGAAGAAGGUGCGGCCAACUACGUGCCAGCAGCCGCGGUGACACGUAGGCACCAAGCGUUGUCCGGAUUUAUUGGGCGUAAAGAGCUCGUAGGCGGUUCAGUAAGUCGGGUGUGAAAACUCUGGGCUUAACCCAGAGCCGCCACCCGAUACUGCUGUGACUUGAGUCCGGUAGGGGAGUGGGGAAUUCCUAGUGUAGCGGUGAAAUGCGCAGAUAUUAGGAGGAACACCGGUGGCGAAGGCGCCACUCUGGGCCGGUACUGACGCUGAGGAGCGAAAGCGUGGGUAGCAAACAGGAUUAGAUACCCUGGUAGUCCACGCCGUAAACGUUGGGCACUAGGUGUGGGCCUCAACCAACGAGGUCCGUGCCGUC